rnacentral:rRNA from 1 species
AUUGAACGCUGGCGGCAGGCUUAACACAUGCAAGUCGAGCGGGGUGAUGGUGCUUGCACUAUCACUUAGCGGCGGACGGGUGAGUAAUGCUUAGGAAUCUGCCUAUUAGUGGGGGACAACAUCUCGAAAGGGAUGCUAAUACCGCAUACGUCCUACGGGAGAAAGCAGGGGAUCACUUGUGACCUUGCGCUAAUAGAUGAGCCUAAGUCGGAUUAGCUAGUUGGUGGGGUAAAGGCCUACCAAGGCGACGAUCGGUAGCGGGUCUGAGAGGAUAAGCCGCCACAGUGGGACUGAGACACGGCCCAGACUCCUACGGGAGGCAGCAGUGGGGAAUAUUGGACAAUGGGGGGAACCCUGAUCCAGCCAUGCCGCGUGUGUGAAGAAGGCCUUAUGGUUGUAAAGCACUUUAAGCGAGGAGGAGGCUCUUUUGGUUAAUACCCAAGAUGAGUGGACGUUACUCGCAGAAUAAGCACCGGCUAACUCUGUGCCAGCAGCCGCCGUAA